rnacentral:lncRNA from 1 species
CUCUUCUACCUCUUUCCGAGGAGGCCCCAAGACCGGACCCCAGACUGGGCCUCCAAGACGACCACCAGUCUGACGUCUGCUAAGCAUUUCGGGCAUCCUCGUCCGGAGCACGCUGGGCGUGGCAUGGCUAAGGCUCAGCCUUCGAACUUUGUAUCAAAGGCGUGUGAGGAGCCAGAGUCCCAGGCCGGAAGUCAUAAGUGCGAAGGGGCGUUUCUCUGCACGGUGUGCUUAGUUUUUGUUAAUACUGCACCAUAAGCGGAAAAUAGACUCGGGAACUGAUUGAGGUUACUUUGAACGCACCAAGAUUUUUUUCCGGUCUCUGGUUUGUGUCUUAAUUUCCAUACUGUUAAUGUUUUAGGGAAACGUAAUAAUGGUGCAUUAUUGUCCUCGUUUUGUUUGAAAAUCAGAUCUUCACAUAAUUUUGGGUUGGGUAGUUGGGGUUCAGAGGAAAUUGGCAAGAGGGCUGGGGUUUUUCGGGGACGUCAGCGUUGCCAUUCCAAGCAUGCUGCCCAGAACUGCUGUAGAUGGGAAGAGAAAGCUGCUCUAAUGUGUCCGCAGCCCUCUCAAGUGCUACCAUAUAAUUCGCGUCUUGUUUGGCCUCAAGACAGUUGGCCUCACAAUAGAUAUAAGAUGUGGUUUAGUAGACACCUCGUCCAGUGGAUAGGAGGAUGCUCUCAUGGACUGGACACAUCAAGUUUUUAGCCUGUUUAAUUAAACCUAGAAAAAUUGUUACAUUUUAGAAAGUUUUUAUUGAUGAUAAAAUGUUCUCUGAACUCAUUUUCUUGCUUCUUUAAAUACGUAUCUGGUUUCAAUCUUAGCACUGCUACUUACUAAUGUUUAUUUUAUUUGGGUUUUAGUUGUUUUGUAAUCAGAAGCAUAGGAUAACAUUUGUCCCAAUGGUUUGCUUUCAGUGAAUGUUGGGAUGACCGAAUGACUUCCUAGUGAAAGCAUUUUCUUUUCUCCUUCCAACCCCUGAAAUUAGACAAAUGUAUUAAUGAAAUAAUCAUUAAAAUUCAACUAUAAAUGUUUACAGAAACUGGUACAUCUAUCCUAUGGAAUAUUUAGUAACAAAUAGGAACACAGUAUUGAUGAACACACCCUGAAAUGAAUCUGUAGGAAAUUAUGGUUAAAGAAAAAGCCAAUCUCAAAUGCUUAUAUACUGUGUAAUUCCAUUAUGUAACAUCUCAGAAUUGAUAAAUUUAUGUAAGUGGACAACAGAAUAAUUGAUUGCCAUGGGUCAGGGAAUGGAAAUCCUGCAUCUUGUCUAUAUUAAUGUCAGUAUUCUGGUUGUGAUAUUGCAAUAGUUUUGUAACAUGUCACCACUGGGGGAAACUAGAUUAAAGAUAUACACGGUCAUCUGUAUAUUAUUUCUUAAAACUGCAUGUGACACAAUUGUCUCAAUAUAAAAAGUUUGAUUAAAAAAAUGCAGCUAUAGACUUGACAGCACUUCCUAUAGACAUUCUAUAAACCGUUAUUAAAACUGAAUCUCACUUAAAAAUAAUUUUUUUAUAGUAAAUCUGUUCUCUCAGUUAAGGAUAUGAAUGAUCCUCAGAAGCAAUACAAAUGAAUAAGACAUUUAAAAACUUCACUAAGCAAAAUAAUGCAAAUUAAAAUGCAUGUUUUAGUCAUUUGUAUUGAUUCACUUGUCAAGUUAACAAAGCUUUACAGUUAGAAAUAUUCAGUAUUUGCAAGGAUACAAUGAAAUGGUACUAUUCUAAACUGCUGCAGAUAAUGAAACUCAUUCUGAGAAAUUAUUUGGAAAUACCAAGAGCCAGAAACAAACUAAAUGCUCAAAAAUUGAAGGAUGAUUAAAUUUGCUGGUGUAUUCUUGUUAUAUAGACAUAAUAAAUAUAUUUUUUAAAACAAUAUGGAAAAAUGCUUGCUGAAUAAUGUGUGAAAAAUCAGGAUAGAAAAUUAUAUGUAUGUUCCAAAUGAUGUUUAAAACAAAACAUAUACAUUCUUACAUUCUUUCUUACACGUGUUUCUUGAAAAUAAAGGCUGGAUGGUAAAUAUCAAAA